rnacentral:rRNA from 1 species
UGGUCUGAAUGCCAAAGAUUUUAUCGCUGAAAGAUGGGCUCGCGUCUGAUUAGAUAGUUGGUGGGGUAACGGCCCACCAAGUCUGCGAUCAGUAGCCGGACUGAGAGGUUGAACGGCCACAUUGGGACUGAGAUACGGCCCAGACUCCUACGGGAGGCAGCAGUGGGGAAUAUUGGGCAAUGGGGGAAACCCUGACCCAGCAACGCCGCGUGAAGGAAGAAGGCUUUCGGGUUGUAAACUUCUUUUACCAGGGACGAAGGACGUGACGGUACCUGGAGAAAAAGCCACGGCUAACUACGUGCCAGCAGCCGCGGUAAUACGUAGGUGGUAAGCGUUGUCCGGAAUUACUGGGUGUAAAGGGCGUGUAGGCGGAGCAGCAAGUCAGAAGUGAAAUCUCCGGGCUUAACCCGGAAACUGCUUUUGAAACUGUUGCCCUUGAGUAUCGGAGAGGCAGGCGGAAUUCCUAGUGUAGCGGUGAAAUGCGUAGAUAUUAGGAGGAACACCAGUGGCGAAGGCGGCCUGCUGGACGACAACUGACGCUGAGGCGCGAAAGCGUGGGGAGCAAACAGGAUUAGAUACC